CUCCCCUGGGUUUCUCUCCGUCGUGAAAGAAUGAGGAACAAAGGAGAGUAGGUCAAAACAUAAACAAAAACGACGUCGUUUCAAUAAUUAGAUUACAUGUAUUCUACCUAAAGUAGAUCGAUAAAAUGUGCCAAAUAAGCCACGCAAACCUACUGCUAAACGUUGGUGCUUAUCACCCCUAAUCCUCUAAAUUACUGUAAAUACAUGAAGCAAAAAAAGAAUAAAAUUGUACAUAAUUGGUGAAUCUCAAUACAUUGUCAUCACCAAUGAUAAGAGUUUAGAGUAUAAGGAUCUUUUAUGAAGGCUUUCGUCAGGGUUCGUUUAUGGUUUAGUGAGGUUUCGUUUAGGGUUUAUUUAGGGUUCGUUUAGGGUUUAGUGAGGUUUCAUUUAGGGUUUAGGUAGGGUUCGAUUAGGGUUUAGUGAGGGUUUGUUAUUUCUCAAUUUGAUUAAAGCAACUCUUUCAUGCAAAAGCAAACCACAAAUUGAUAAACCAAGUGUUUUGUCAGAUAAUUCCUAGAAAACCAAUCAAGAGUUUUGUCACACAAAUCCUAGAAAAACAAAGACAAACACACAUAAUCAGUCUUCUUCGAUGUCAAAGACAUCAGAAGUCUCAUACUCUGAAGGCACAUGUUCUGCCAUAAGCUGAAUUAACAUGGGAUCUUGUGCAGCCUCCCAUAUAUCCAGAGCAAUCUUCUGGCGGCAACCCUGCAUGAUCUC
rnacentral:lncRNA from 1 species